CUCGGGAUGAACGCUAGCGACAGGCCUAACACAUGCAAGUCGAGGGGCAGCACAAGGAGCAAGUCUGAGGUGGCGACCGGCGCACGGGUGAGUAACACGUAUGCAACCUGCCUGUAAGCGGGGAAUAACCCGUUGAAAGACGGACUAAUACCGCAUAAUACUAAAUUACUGCAUGGUAAUUUAUUUAAACAUUUAUGGCUUACAGAUGGGCAUGCGCAUGAUUAGCUAGUUGGAGAGGUAACGGCUCCCCAAGGCAACGAUCAUUAGGGGUUCUGAGAGGAAGGUCCCCCACACUGGUACUGAGACACGGACCAGACUCCUACGGGAGGCAGCAGCGAGGAAUAUUGGUCAAUGGACGAGAGUCUGAACCAGCCAAGUCGCGUGCAGGAAGAAUGUCCUAUGGAUUGUAAACUGCUUUUGCAGGGGGAAUAAAGUGCAUCACGUGUGAUGUUUUGUAUGUACUCUGCGAAUAAGGAUCGGCUAACUCCGUGCCAGCAGCUGC
rnacentral:rRNA from 1 species